rnacentral:rRNA from 1 species
UACAGAGGGUGCGAGCGUUAAUCGGAAUUACUGGGCGUAAAGCGCACGUAGGCGGAUUGUUAAGUCGGGGGUGAAAUCCUGGAGCUCAACUCCAGAACUGCCUUUGAUACUGAGGAUCUUGAGUUCGGGAGAGGUGAGUGGAACUGUGAGUGUAGAGGUGAAAUUCGUAGAUAUUCGCAAGAACACCAGUGGCGAAGGCGGCUAUCUGGACGGUUUCUGACGCUAAGACGCGAAAGCGUGGGGAGCAAACAGG